UUUCAAGAACACUCAGUCGCUGCUUUCACCCGUGUUCUUGAUGAGGCCAGUGUUGUUCUUCUCUUCAGAGACAAAGUCUAUCUUCAUCCUGAUAAGGUAUAUACAAGUGGGGAAUGCAGUUGCAUUUCUAGUAUCUAUGGCAUUCGGAAGUAUGUUGGCAAAGGGAAGCUAAGGAGUCUCAAAUAAUGAACCCUUGACAACAAUUGAUCUGAAAUUCCCUCUGAGUCCUGCACAAUAGCAUUGGAUUAAUUAACCAUUCUUAAAUUGGGUAAUGAAACGGAGAGUGUUAGCUUUGAUCUUCGACCUUCAGAUGCAUUAACAUUGCAGUAAUAUACAAGGUAUUUUUGUUCAUUUUGAAGAUUGUAACUGCUUUGGUGGAUUUUUGUAGUUGUUUAUCA